AUUGAACGCUGGCGGCAUGCCUUACACAUGCAAGUCGAACGGCAGCACGGGGCAACCUGGUGGCGAGUGGCGAACGGGUGAGUAAUGCAUCGGAACGUACCUUUCAGUGGGGGGUAACGUAGCGAAAGUUACGCUAAUACCGCAUAUUCUGUGAGCAGGAAAGCAGGGGAUCGAAAGACCUUGCGCUGAUUGAGCGGCCGAUGUCAGAUUAGCUAGUUGGUGAGGUAAAGGCUCACCAAGGCGACGAUCUGUAGCGGGUCUGAGAGGAUGAUCCGCCACACUGGAACUGAGACACGGUCCAGACUCCUACGGGAGGCAGCAGUGGGGAAUUUUGGACAAUGGGGGCAACCCUGAUCCAGCCAUGCCGCGUGAGUGAAGAAGGCCUUCGGGUUGUAAAGCUCUUUCGGCCGGGAAGAAAUCGCACGGGCUAAUACCCUGUGUGGAUGACGGUACCGGAAUAAGAAGCACCGGCUAACUACGUGCCAGCCGCCGCGGUAAAAC
rnacentral:rRNA from 1 species